rnacentral:rRNA from 1 species
AGUGAACGCUGGCGGUAGGCCUAACACAUGCAAGUCGAACGGCAGCACAGUAAGAGCUUGCUCUUACGGGUGGCGAGUGGCGGACGGGUGAGGAAUACAUCGGAAUCUACUUUUUCGUGGGGGAUAACGUAGGGAAACUUACGCUAAUACCGCAUACGACCUACGGGUGAAAGCAGGGGAUCUUCGGACCUUGCGCGAUUGAAUGAGCCGAUGUCGGAUUAGCUGGUUGGCGGGGUAAAGGCCCACCAAGGCGACGAUCCGUAGCUGGUCUGAGAGGAUGAUCAGCCACACUGGAACUGAGACACGGUCCAGACUCCUACGGGAGGCAGCAGUGGGGAAUAUUGGACAAUGGGCGAAAGCCUGAUCCAGCCAUACCGCGUGGGUGAAGAAGGCCUUCGGGUUGUAAAGCCCUUUUGUUGGGAAAGAAAAGCAGCAGGUUAAUACCCCGCUGUUCUGACGGUACCCAAAGAAUAAGCACCGGCUAACUUCGUG